rnacentral:lncRNA from 1 species
CAAACUUGAAUGAAAAGAAAUGAACCUCAUGUUUAUAGCAGCUUUAUUCAUAAUUGCCAAAACUUGGAAGCAACCAAGAUGUCCUUGAGUAGGAUCUUUUUAAUUCUCUCCGAUUUACUACCCUGGCUGCAGAAAAAGAAGAGGCAGAGUUGCUGCAAUCCAAGAUGUUCGUCCUGCUCAUGCUAGAUCAGCUCCACCCGCGCCCCACCCCACCCCGACCCGCUCUAGGAAGGAGGAGAAGCAGUGAUUUGAUCAUGAAACUUCUGUCUGGCCUUGGGCAGAGCACUUAACCUGCAUGGUUUCAACUAUGCUUCCUACAGUCCUGUGGGGUGGUAUUAUUGUUCUCGCCACUUAGCUGUGAAGAAAAUAAAGCUAAAAGAGAUAUAUUAGCCAGCUAAGGUCACACAGCUAGGUGGUAGCAAAGCUAGGGUUCAAACCUAGAGUGUGUAACUCUAAAAGUUUAUGCUUGCGCAUUGCGGUAAAUGCAGCACAAUUCUUGGGUGGUCUUCCCAGGCCACAUGUCGUUGAUUCCUUUAGCUUUCACAUAAGAUUAAGUAGAGAAGGAGAUCUUUACGAAGCAACAGAAUGUAGCAGGCUUAAGGAGCCUUUGCUUCUAGUU